ACUCACUGCAUCCUGCCACCUUGUGAAGGAGGUGCCUGCUUCUCCUUUGCCUUCUGCCGUGAUGGUAAGUUUCCCCAGGCCUCCCCAGCUAUGUGGAACUGAGUCAAUUAAACUUCUUUAUAAAUUACCAAGUCUCAGGUAUCUUUUCAUAGCAGUGUGAGAACAAACUAAUACAGUCACUCUGGCUAUGCUUUAGUAACAGGACUGGUGGUAUUUUGUCCCUGCCCUAGAGAUCUGUGAAACUUUGAACUUGAGAGAGAUGAUUUAGGAUAUCUGGCAGAAGAAAUUUCUAAGCAGCAAAACAUUCAAAAAAUAACCUGGCUGCUUCUAACAGUAUAAUCUCAUACGCAUUCAUAAAGAGAUAAUCUGAAAUUGAAAGUUAUGUUUAAAAGGGAAGCAGAGCAUAAAAAUUUGGAAUAUUUGCAACAUUACCAUGUGGUAGAAAAUAAAAGCCCAUUUUCCGAGCAGAUAUUCAAGCUGGCUACAGAAAUUUGCAUAAUUAAAGAGAAGCUGACUGUUAAUAGCCUGAGACAAUGGGGAAAAUGUCUUCAGGACAUGUCAUAGACCUUGUGGCAGCCCCAAGCCUUGGUAGCUUACAUGUGGUGUUGGGCCUGUGGCUGUGCAGAAGGUACAAACUGAGCUUUGGGAACCUCUGCCUAGAUUUCAGAGGAUGUAUGAAAGCAAAUGGAUAUCCAGGUAGUCUGCUGCAAGGGUGGAGCCCUCAUGGAGAACCUCCACUAUGGCAGUGCAGAGGAAAAAUGUGGGCUUGGAGCUCCCACACAUAUUUGCCCCUGGGGCAUUGACUAGUGAAGCUGUGAGAAGAGAACCACGGUGCCCCAGACCCCAGAACUGCAGAUCCACCAACAGCUUGCACCCUGUGGCUGGAAAAGCUGCAGAAACUCAAUUUCAGCCCAUGAAAGCAUCAGCUGUGGCUGUAAUCUUCAGAAUCACAGGGCAGAGCUGCCCACAGACUUGGGAGCCCACCCCUUGCAUCAGCAUGCCCUUCAUGUGAGACAUGGAGUCAAAGGUUCUUAUUUGGAGCUUUAAGAUUUAAUGACUGCCCUGCUGGGUUUCGGACUUUCAUGGGGCCUAUAGCCCCUUUGUUUUGGCCAAUUUUUCCCAUUUAGAAUGAAGGCAUUUAUGCAAUGCCUGUACCCCCAUUUUAUCUUGAAAGUAACUAACUUGUUUUUGAUUUUACAGGCUCAUAGGCAGAAGGGACUGGCCUUAUCUCAGCUGAGACUUUGGACUUGCAUUUUGGGUUGAUGCUGAAAUAAGUUAGGACUUUUGGGGAUUGUUAAGAGGGCAUGAUUGUGUUUUGAAAUGUGAGAAGGACAUGAGAUUUGGGAGGGGCCAAGGGUGGAAUAAUAUGGUUAGGCUUUGUGUCCCCAUCCAAAUUUCAUGUCAAAUUAUAAUCUCCAUGUGUCAGAGGAGGAACCUGAUGGGAGGUAAUUGCAUCAUGGUGGUAGCGUUUUCCCAUGUUGUUCUCGUAAUAGCGAGUGAGUUCUCAGGAGAUCUGAUGGUUUAAAAGUGUGGCACUUCUCACCUCACUCUCUAUCUCUCCUGAUGCUAUGUAAGACAUGCCUUGCUUCCUCCUUGCCUUCCACCAUGAUUGUAAAUUCCCUGAGGCCUCCUCAGCCAUGCAGAACUGUGAGUCAAUUAAGCCUCUUUUUAAAAUAAAUUACCCAGUCUCAGGUAGCUUUUUGUAGUAGUGUGAGAACAGACAAAUACACAUAGUGUGCAAAUAUGUUCUCCCAUUUUGUGGG
rnacentral:lncRNA from 1 species